AACAGGAUUAGAUACCCUGGUAGUCCACGCUGUAAACGAUGUCGACUUGGAGGUUGUUCCCUUGAGGAGUGGCUUCCGGAGCUAACGCGUUAAGUCGACCGCCUGGGGAGUACGGCCGCAAGGUUAAAACUCAAAUGAAUUGACGGGGGCCCGCACAAGCGGUGGAGCAUGUGGUUUAAUUCGAUGCAACGCGAAGAACCUUACCUACUCUUGACAUCCAGAGAACUUAGCAGAGAUGCUUUGGUGCCUUCGGGAACUCUGAGACAGGUGCUGCAUGGCUGUCGUCAGCUCGUGUUGUGAAAUGUUGGGUUAAGUCCCGCAACGAGCGCAACCCUUAUCCUUUGUUGCCAGCGGUCCGGCCGGGAACUCAAAGGAGACUGCCAGUGAUAAACUGGAGGAAGGUGGGGAUGACGUCAAGUCAUCAUGGCCCUUACGAGUAGGGCUACACACGUGCUACAAUGGCAUAUACAAAGAGAAGCGACCUCGCGAGAGCAAGCGGACCUCAUAAAGUAUGUCGUAGUCCGGAUUGGAGUCUGCAACUCGACUCCAUGAAGUCGGAAUCGCUAGUAAUCGUGGAUCAGAAUGCCACGGUGAAUACGUUCCCGGGCCUUGUACACACCGCCUGUCACACCAUGGGAGUGGGUUGCAAAAGAAGUAGGUAGCUUAACCUUCGGGAGGGCGCUUACCACUUUGUGAUUCAUGACUGGGGUGAAGUCGUAACAAGGUAACC
rnacentral:rRNA from 1 species